rnacentral:rRNA from 1 species
GACGAACGCUGGCGGCGUGCCUAAUACAUGCAAGUCGAACGAGUGGCGGACGGGUGAGUAAUGUCUGGGAAACUGCCCGAUGGAGGGGGAUAACUACUGGAAACGGUAGCUAAUACCGCAUACCAUCGGAUGUGCCUAGAUGGGAUUAGCUAGUAGGUGGGGUAACGGCAUACCUAGGCGACGCUACAUAGCUGGUCUGAGGGUAUGACCAGCCACACUGGAACUGAGACACGGUCCAGACUCCUACGGGAGGCAGCAGUGGGGAAUAUUGCACAAUGGGCGCAAGCCUGAUGCAGCCAUGCCGCGUGUAUGAAGAAGGCCUUCGGGUUGUAAAGUACUUUCAGCGAGGAGGCGUUACUCGCAGAAGAAGCACCGGCUAACUCCGUGCCAGCCGCCGCGGUAAUAC